rnacentral:tRNA from 1 species
UCUAAUGUGGCAGAUUAGUGCCAUGAAUUUAAGCUUCAUUUAUAAAGUUUUCUUUCUUUAGAA